rnacentral:rRNA from 1 species
GAACGGCAGCGCAGGAGAGCUUGCUCCUUGGGUGGCGAGUGGCGGACGGGUGAGGAAUACAUCGGAAUCUGCCUAGUAGUGGGGGAUAACGUCGGGAAACGGACGCUAAUACCGCAUACGACCUACGGGUGAAAGCAGAGGACCUUCGGGCUUCUGCGCGAUUAGAUGAGCCGAGGUCGGAUUAGCUAGUUGGCGGGGUAAAGGCCCACCAAGGCGACGAUCCGUAGCUGGUCUGAGAGGAUGAUCAGCCACACUGGAACUGAGACACGGUCCAGACUCCUACGGGAGGCAGCAGUGGGGAAUAUUGGACAAUGGGCGCAAGCCUGAUCCAGCCAUGCCGCGUGUGUGAAGAAGGCCUUCGGGUUGUAAAGCACUUUUGUCCGGAAAGAAAAGCAUUUGGUUAAUACCCGGAUGUCAUGACGGUACCGGAAGAAUAAGCACCGGCU